ensembl:lncRNA
CGCGCGUUGAACAUUCGACAAGCAUUUAAACUGGAGUGGAGAGUUACCAUGGAAACGGGGCGGCAAUUCAGCUGAUAAGUAGCAAAACCUUCCAUCUCUCACUGUUGUUUUUACUGCUUUCAGCAAAGUUGGAGCGGACCUCUUUUUGACUUCUCCAGGCACUAUUUACCAUCUGACUAGGCUGUUCGUGAACACAGAAAAUCGAGAGAUGUUGUGACAACCUGGACAGAAGUCAGCUCCAAAUCCAUUCUCAACACCAGACUUCUCAUUCACAAGGAUUCCUCUCUUAAAAACCAAUAAUUUUCAGAAAUCACUUUUUUUUUAUUGCGCCUUCCAAGUAAAAUCAAUCAAACUGCAGUAGGGUUGUAUUGAUUAAGAUUAAGAUUAUUCAGAUGACAAUGUAGAUGCCAGAAAAAGGUUGAUGUUGUUGUGAUCAUAGAUUGUAUGUGAUUACAGGCAAUACAGUACAUGGUUUUUCCCUCACCAUUGUAACACACUACUUUUGCAAGGUUCCGUGAAAAUGUUUCAGCUUUUAUUUUCCUUUUACACCCUGAAGAUAUCACAGGUUCAUCAACUUCAUCUAAAUUAUCCAUCCCCGAUCGCAUUUAGUCAACUUUGAAAAAUUCCUCUCAGCUAGCACGUCUUUUUAAAGUGAAAGUAGCUUUGUCACCUGACCUAAAUACAGUGUGCUGAUUCACUAAAACUGAUUUAUCGGCUUCUAAACAAAAAC